rnacentral:rRNA from 1 species
UACGAAGGGGGCUAGCGUUGCUCGGAUUGACUGGGCGUAAAGGGCGCGUAGGCGGUUCGUACAGUCAGACGUGAAAUUCCUGGGCUCAACCUGGGGGCUGCGUUUGAUACGUGCGGACUUGAGUGCGGAAGAGGGUCGUGGAAUUCCCAGUGUAGAGGUGAAAUUCGUAGAUAUCGAGAGGAACACCGGUGGCGAAGGCGGCCUUCUGGACAGUGACUGACGCUGAGACGCGAAAGCGUGGGGAGCAAACAGG